GAGUUUGAUCACUGGCUCAGAACGUACGCUGGCGGCACGCCUAACACAUGCAAGUCGAACGAAGUAGCAAUACUUAGUGGCAGACGGGUGAGUAACAUGUAGGUAUCUGCCCUUUGGCCUGGAAUAACACGAGGAAACUUGUGCUAAUACCGGAUAAGUCUUUACGGAGAAAGCUUUAUGCACCAUUGGAUGAGCCUGCACUUGAUUAGUUUGUUGGUGGGGUAAUGGCCUACCAAGACUGUGAUCAAUAGCUGAUUUGAGAGGAUGAUCAGCCACAUUGGGACUGAGACACGGCCCAAACUCCUACGGGAGGCAGCAGUGGGGAAUCUUGCACAAUGGAGGAAACUCUGAUGCAGCGAUGCCGCGUGAGUGAAGAAGGCCCUUGGGUUGUAAAGCUCUUUCGUCGGGGAAGAAAAUGACUGUACCCGAAUAAGAAGGUCCGGCUAACUUCGUGCCAGCAGCCGCGGUAAUACGAAGGGACCUAGCGUAGUUCGGAAUUACUGGGCUUAAAGAGUUCGUAGGUGGUUGAAAAAGUUAGUGGUGAAAUCCCAGAGCUUAACUCUGGAACUGCCAUCAAAACUUUUCAGCUAGAGUAUGAUAGAGGAAAGCAGAAUUUCUAGUGUAGAGGUGAAAUUCGUAGAUAUUAGAAAGAAUACCAAUUGCGAAGGCAGCUUUCUGGAUCAUUACUGACACUGAGGAACGAAAGCAUGGGUAGCGAAGAGGAUUAGAUACCCACGUAGUCCAUGCCGUAAACGAUGUGUGUUAGACGUUGGAAAUUUAUUUUCAGUGUCGCAGGGAAACCGAUAAACACACCGCCUGGGGAGUACGACCGCAAGGUUAAAACUCAAAUGAAUUGACGGGGACCCGCACAAGUAGUGGAGCAUGUGGUUUAAUUCGAAGAUACGCGCAGAACCUUACCAACACUUGACAUGUUCGUCGCGACUCUAAGAGAUUAGAGUUUUCGGUUCGGCCGGACGAAACACAGGUGCUGCAUGGCUGUCGUCAGCUCGUGUCGUGAGAUGUUGGGUUAAGUCCCGCAACGAGCGCAACCCUCACUUUUAGUUGCCAUCAUUAAGUUGGGCACUCUGAAAGAACUGCCAGUGAUAAGCUGGAGGAAGGUGGGGAUGACGUCAAGUCCUCAUGGCCCUUACGUGUUGGGCUACACACGUGCUACAAUGGUAUCUACAACAGGAAGCAAGACUGCGAAGUUAAGCAAAUCCCUAAAAGAUACCUCAGUUCGGAUUGCACUCUGCAACUCGAGUGCAUGAAGCUGGAAUUACUAGUAAUCGUGGAUCAGCGUGCCACGGUGAAUGCGUUCCCGGGUCUUGUACACACCGCCCGUCACACCAUGGGAGUUGGUUCUACCUUAAGGCAAGGUUUCAAACCCUUGACCACGGUAUAGUCAGCGACUGGGGUGAAGUCGUAACAAGGUAACC
rnacentral:rRNA from 1 species